rnacentral:rRNA from 1 species
AUUGAACGCUGGCGGCAUGCCUUACACAUGCAAGUCGAACGGCAGCACGGGUGCUUGCACCUGGUGGCGAGUGGCGAACGGGUGCGUAAUACAUCGGAACAUGUCUUGUAGUGGGGGAUAGCCCGGCGAAAGCCGGAUUAAUACCGCAUACGAACUCCGGAUGAAAGCGGGGGACCUUCGGGCCUCGCGCUAUAGGGUUGGCCGAUGGCUGAUUAGCUAGUUGGUGGGGUAAAGGCCUACCAAGGCGACGAUCAGUAGCUGGUCUGAGAGGACGACCAGCCACACUGGAACUGAGACACGGCCUAGACUCCUACGGGAGGCAGCAGUGGGGAAUAUUGGACAAUGGGCGAAAGCCUGAUCCAGCAAUGCCGCGUGUGUGAAGAAGGCCUUCGGGUUGUAAAGCACUUUUGUCCGGAAAGAAAUCCUUGGCCCUAAUACGGUCGGGGGAUGACGGUACCGGAAGAAUAAGCACCGGCUAACUACGUG